AACCUGGUUGAUCUUGCCAGUAGUCAUAUGCUUGUCUCAAAGAUUAAGCCAUGCAAGUGAAAGUAUAUAUAUAUUUUAUAUGUAGAAACUGCGAACGGCUCAUUAAAACAGUUAUAGUCUACUUGACAUUUUUUUUAUAAGGAUAACUACGGAAAAGCUGUAGCUAAUACUUGCUUUAUUAUCCUUUGAUUUUAUCUUUGGAUACGUAUUUGUUAGUUCUUAUAAGAAAGAAGUUUUUAACUUAGUGAUUUAUAACAAAGAAGUAACACGUAAUAAAUUUAUUUUAUUUAGUGUGUAUCAAUCGAGUUUCUGACCUAUCAGCUUUUGAUGUUAGGGUAUUGGCCUAACAUGGCUAUGACGGGUAACGGGGAAUUAGAGUUCGAUUCCGGAGAGGGAGCCUGAGAAAUAGCUACCACAUCUAAGGAAGGCAGCAGGCGCGUAAAUUACCCAAUUCUAAAGAAGAGAGGUAGUGACAAGAAAUAACAAUGCAAGGCCAAUUUUUGGUUUUGUAAUUGGAAUGGUGGGAAUUUAAAACCUUCCCAGAGUAACAAUUGGAGGGCAAGUCUGGUGCCAGCAGCCGCGGUAAUUCCAGCUCCAAUAGCGUAUAUUAAAAUUGUUGCAGUUAAAACGCUCGUAGUUGAAUUUCAAGGAAUCGAUAUUUUAUUGUAACUAUUUUAGGGGUUUUAUUUUUGCUUCUUGCUUAAAUUCUUCCCCUAUUAUUAUGUUCUUUAAAUAACAAAGAUUCUUUUUAAAAUCCCUUUUUGCUUUUUUGCUUUUUGGGAUUUUGUUACUUUGAGUAAAUUAGAGUGUUCAAAGCAAACAGUUAAAGCAUUUACUGUGUUUGAAUACUAUAGCAUGGAAUAACAAAAUUGAACAAGCUGAAAUUUUUGUUCUUUUUUCUUAUUUUGGCUUAGUUACGAUUAAUAGGAGUAGCUUGGGGACAUUCGUAUUCAGAUGUCAGAGGUGAAAUUCUUAGAUUUUCUGGAGACGAACAACUGCGAAAGCAUUUGUCUAAAAUACUUCCAUUAAUCAAGAACGAAAGUUAAGGGAGUGAAGACGAUCAGAUACCGUCGUAAUCUUAACCAUAAACUAUGCCGACUAGGUGUUGGAUGAAAGUGUUAAAAAUAAAAGUCAUCUUUCGAGGUGACUUUUAGAUUGCUUCCUUCAGUACCUUAUGAGAAAUCAAAGUCUUUGGGUUCUGGGGCGAGUAUUCGCGCAAGCGAGAAAGUUAAAAGAAUUGACGGAAGGGCACCACCAGGCGUGGAGCUUGCGGCUUAAUUUGACUCAACACGGGGAAACUCACUAGUUUAAGACAAGAGUAGGAUUGACAGAUUAAUAGCUCUUUCUUGAUUUCUUGGAUGGUGAUGCAUGGCCGUUUUUAGUUCGUGAAUAUGAUUUGUCUGGUUAAUUCCGAUAACGAACGAGAUCUUAACCUGCUAAUUAGCGGUAAGUACACCAUAUUCUUAUUUGAAAUUGUAUUUAGGUAAUUAUACAUUUAUUCAGUGUUCAAAUUAGGAUAUUUUUAUUAAAAUAUCCUUUUCCCUGUUCUACUAAUAUUUUGUUUUUUACUCUAUUUCUUUCUUCUUUUAAGAAUGUACUUGCUUGAUUGUAAAGCUUCUUAGAGGAACAUUGUGUGUCUAACACAAGGAAGUUUAAGGCAACAACAGGUCUGUGAUGUCCUUAGAUGAACUAGGCUGCACGCGUGCUACACUGAUAUAUAUAACGAGUUUUUAAAAUUAUGCUUUUAUAUUUGCUUUUUGCUUUUAUAUUUUGCAUACUUUUCCUCCGCCGAAAGGCGUAGGUAAUCUUUCUCAAUAUAUAUCGUGAUGGGGAUAGAUUAUUGCAAUUAUUAAUCUUGAACGAGGAAUGCCUAGUAAGCAUGAUUCAUCAGAUUGUGCUGACUACGUCCCUGCCCUUUGUACACACCGCCCGUCGCUCCUACCGAUUGAAAGAUAUGAUGAAUUGUUUGGACAAGAAAAGUUGGAAUUAUAUUCCUUUUUUUCUGGAAAAACCGUAAAUCCUAUCUUUUAAAGGAAGGAGAAGUCGUAACAAGGUUUCCGUAGGUGAACCUGCGGAAGGAUCAUUA
rnacentral:rRNA from 1 species